GAGAACGCUGGCGGCGUGCCUAACACAUGCAAGUCGAGCGGAGUCGAUCGACGGAAGCCUUCGGGCGGAAGAUGGUUGACUUAGCGGCGGAUGGGUGAGUAACGCGUGGGCAACCUGCCUCGAAGACCGGGGAUAACAGCCCGAAAGGGCUGCUAAUACCGGAUGUGGUCAAAGAUCCGCAUGGAUUUUUGAUUAAAGGGGAAACCCGUUUCGAGAUGGGCCCGCGUCCUAUCAGCUAGUUGGUGAGGUAAAAGCUCACCAAGGCGACGACGGGUAGCCGGCCUGAGAGGGUGACCGGCCACACUGGAACUGAGACACGGUCCAGACUCCUACGGGGGGCAGCAGUGGGGAAUCUUCCACAAUGGGCGAAAGCCUGAUGGAGCGACGCCGCGUGAGCGAAGAAGGCCUUCGGGUUGUAAAGCUCUGUCUGGAGGGACGAAGGAAGUGACGGUACCUCCGGAGGAAGCCACGGCUAACUACGUG
rnacentral:rRNA from 1 species